UGUGGUCUCAGCCCUCACUGCAG
rnacentral:misc_RNA from 1 species